GUGGGGAAUAUUGGACAAUGGGCGAAAGCCUGAUCCAGCCAUGCCGCGUGUGUGAAGAAGGUCUUCGGAUUGUAAAGCACUUUAAGUUGGGAGGAAGGGCAGUAAGUUAAUACCUUGCUGUUUUGACGUUACCAACAGAAUAAGCACCGGCUAACUUCGUGCCAGCAGCCGCGGUAAUACGAAGGGUGCAAGCGUUAAUCGGAAUUACUGGGCGUAAAGCACGCGUAGGUGGUUUUGUAAGUUGGAGGUGAAAUCCCCGGGCUCAACCUGGGAACUGCCUCCAAAAGUGCAUGACUAGAGUACGGUAGAGGGUAGUGGAAUUUCCUGUGUAGCGGUGCAAUGCGUAGAUAUAGGAAGGAACACCAGCGGCGAAGGCGACUACCUGGACUGAUACUGACACUGAGGUGCGAAAGCGUGUGGAGCAAACAGGAUUAGAUACCCUUGUAGUCC
rnacentral:rRNA from 1 species